GAUGAACGCUAGCGGCAGGCCUAAUACAUGCAAGUCGAACGGUGUCUUCGGACAUAGUGGCGCACGAGUGCGUAACACGUAUGCAACCUACCUUACAUUGGGGGAUAGCCUUUCGAAAGGGAGAUUAAUACCGCAUAAGACAGUAGCUGGGCAUCCAGCAGCUGUUAAAGAUUUAUCGAUGUAAGCUGGGCAUGCGUCCAAUUAGCUAGUUGGUGAGGUAACGGCUCACCAAGGCAAUGAUUGGUAGGGGAACUGAGAGGUCAAUCCCCCACACUGGCACUGAGAUACGGGCCAGACUCCAACGGGAGGCAGCAGUAGGGAAUAUUGGGCAAUGGACGCAAAGCUGACCCAGCCAUGCCGCGUGCUGGAUGAAGGCGUUAUGCGUUGUAAACUGCUUUUAUACAGGAAGAAACGACUCUUGCGAGAGGCAUUGACGGUACUGUAUGAAUAAGCACCGGCUAACUCCGUGCCAGCCGCCGCCGUAA
rnacentral:rRNA from 1 species